rnacentral:rRNA from 1 species
AUUGAACGCUGGCGGAAUGCUUUACACAUGCAAGUCGAACGGCAGCACGGGUGCUUGCACCUGGUGGCGAGUGGCGAACGGGUGAGUAAUACAUCGGAACGUACCCAGACGUGGGGGAUAACGUAGCGAAAGUUACGCUAAUACCGCAUACGUCCUGAGGGAGAAAGCGGGGGAUCGCAAGACCUCGCGCGUUUGGAGCGGCCGAUGGCGGAUUAGCUAGUUGGUAGGGUAAAGGCCUACCAAGGCGACGAUCCGUAGCAGGUCUGAGAGGAUGAUCUGCCACACUGGAACUGAGACACGGUCCAGACUCCUACGGGAGGCAGCAGUGGGGAAUUUUGGACAAUGGGGGAAACCCUGAUCCAGCCAUUCCGCGUGAGUGAAGAAGGCCUUCGGGUUGUAAAGCUCUUUCGGCAGGGAAGAAACGGUGUCCCCUAAUACGGGGCGCUAAUGACGGUACCUGAAGAAGAAGCACCGGCUAACUACGUGCCAGCCGCCGCCGUAA